rnacentral:rRNA from 1 species
UACGCUGGCGGCACGCCUAACACAUGCAAGUCGAACGAAGUAGCAAUACUUAGUGGCAGACGGGUGAGUAACAUGUAGGUAUCUGCCCUUUGGCCUGGAAUAACACGAGGAAACUUGUGCUAAUACCGGAUAAGUCUUUACGGAGAAAGCUUUAUGCACCAUUGGAUGAGCCUGCACUUGAUUAGUUUGUUGGUGGGGUAAUGGCCUACCAAGACUGUGAUCAAUAGCUGAUUUGAGAGGAUGAUCAGCCACAUUGGGACUGAGACACGGCCCAAACUCCUACGGGAGGCAGCAGUGGGGAAUCUUGCACAAUGGAGGAAACUCUGAUGCAGCGAUGCCGCGUGAGUGAAGAAGGCCUUUGGGUUGUAAAGCUCUUUCGUCGGGGAAGAAAAUGACUGUACCCGAAUAAGAAGGUCCGGCUAACU